rnacentral:lncRNA from 1 species
GCCAAACUGAGGACCAAGCCUUUAAUGUGUGGCCCUUUUGGAGACAUUCCAGUUCCAAGCUAUGGCACUACUGAGAUUAACAACAACUGCUAAUAAAAUAGAGUAUUAUAACAUUGUACUGUAAAAAAAAAUUUGCACUUUGGGACCAUUAUUAAGUAAAAUAAAGGGUUACUUGAACACAAGUACUGCAGUGCCCCAACAGUCAAUUUGAUUACUCUGAUGGCUACUAAGUGAUUUAACAGGUGGAUGUUAAAUUUUUAUGGUGUGGAUAUGCCGGACAAAGAAACGAUUCAAAUCCUGGGUGGGAUAGAGCAGGACGGCACAGGAUUUCAUCACGCUACUCAUGCAAGUUAAAACUGAUGAAUUGUUUAUUUCUGGAAUUUUCCACUUAAUAUUUUCAGCCAUUGGUUGACCACAGAUAACUGAAACCUUAGAAAUUGAAACCAUGAGUAAGGAGGGACUAUUGUAGUGAUAUUAAUAUAUAUUUUUUAACUUAUUUAUUUUCUUGAGGCACAUUUUAGGUCAGAUAUAAGUUAAAUAUUAACAGUGCUUGAAAAUAGUGCUUCUUAAACUUUAAUAUGCAUGUGAUUCACCUAGGGGUCAUGUUAAAAUGCAGCCUUGGUACGUGUGGUAUGGGAUGUGAGAUUAUGUUUUUUUCUGACUGGCUUUAUGGUGAUGCCUGUGUAGCUAAUUAGUGACGGAGGCUUUGUGUGGUAAGGUCUUAAUGUACUUUCCUCCAUUUUAUCUUUGGUUUCUUUUUCUCUAGAAAUUCUCUGAACAGGUCACUUCACUCUUUAGGAAUUUUUGCCAACACAUUUCCUGUGAUUAGCCCGAUGUUGUUAUAAGUGACAUUCUUAAAUAUGCCCAUGCUUUAUUCUAAUAAUAAAUAUUUGCACAUUAU